GGGGUCUGGCCGUUGGCCUGGGGGUUGUGAGUCACCGCCACUCCUUUCCGCCCGCGGGCGCUCAGCGGAGGACGGCGUGGGGGUGGGGGUGGCCUGUACCCGGAACCCAGUGCAUGAAGCGCGGGCGCCCAGCCGGAAGGCGAAGCGGAGCCCGGCGCCGAGAGGUUCGGUUCCGUCCAGUCGCGCUGUGGAGGGACAGGGCGUCCCCAGCCGCCUGCCUUUGCCACUAGGAUUCUGAUGUCCCGUUCACCUCAGCGCUGUGGAGACGACACGGUGGGCAUCCCUGGAAUUUUUAAAAGGUUGACACCAGUAUUUGAGACAUAGACAUAUUCAGCCAGGACUGGUAGCACACAUCUGUAAUCCCAGCACUCUGGAGGCUGAGGCAGCAAGAUCUCUCUGAGUCAAAGCCAAUCUGGGCUACAUAGUGAGUUGAAGGCCGGCCUGAACUGCAUAGCAAGCCCUUCUCUCGAGAAAAACAAAACAAGACACAAUAAAAACAAAAAAGAAAAAAAAAAGAAAAGAAAGAAACAUGGAAUGUUCUACUACACUGAAUAAACAAGUAGUAUAGGUAGGCCAAAUUUAAUCAGAUGUCCAUUUUAAAAUGUACUUGAGGCUGGCAUGGUAGUGCAUGCCUGUCAUCCCAGCACUCAGGAGGCUGAGGCAGGAGGAUCACUGUGAGUUUGAGGCCAGUCUGGACUACAAAGUGAGUUCAAGGCCACCCUGAACUACAUAGCAAGACCCUGUCUUGAAAACAAAACAAAACACCCAAACCAAACCAAAACAAAAAUAAAUGCACUUAAAUUGUUUUAUAUUUUAUUUUAUUUUUUGCAAUACUGGGGAUUGGACCUAGAGCCUUUGUACUGAGCUACAUUCCCAGCCCCUUUUUUAUUUUUCAUUUGGAUAAGUUGCCCAGGCUGUGCUCAGACUUUUCACCCUCCUGCCUCAGUUUCUCAGAAUGCUGAGAUUAUAGGUGUGCACCGCAAGUAUGGUGUGGGGCUUUGAAUUGUUUUAGAUGUUGUGUAAAACAUUCCUACUGUGGUAGACUAAACAUUACAAAGGAAGUGCUGAGAGUUUUAUGAGAACUCCUGAUAAAUAGAAAAGCUUAAAUAUUGAGCACUAUAUAAAAAGGCUUGAUUUUGAAAAUGUGAUGUACUUAAAUUAACAGCGAGGUUUGGAAAUGGGUGCCCGAACAAGCAGCACUUGGUUCUGAAAUUAACUUUCUUUGAUGAGAUGGCAGGGCCUCUUUUCUGUCAGUAGGGUUCUUGUAGUAGUUGAGACACCUGCUCCCAUGCAGUAGAGACAGUGGCAGUGUGUACAUUCCCAGGGCUGUGCAGACACCACCUCACCUAGUUCUAGAGCUUUUCCUUACCUGGAAAGGACAGUUGGUCCCCAUCCACACUCUUCCUUCUCCCUCAAGGCUGUGAACGCUACCCGUGUGCUGUAUGUCCUGGUGGAUUUGCCUGCUCUGAACGUUCCUCUAUGGAAUCAGACCUUUUUUUUGGAUCCCCUAUGCAGUUUUUAAAAAGGAGGCUUAUGUGAAAGGGUUGGGAUGCCUGAAUAUUUGAAUAGACAAGGUAAGCAUUCAAAUUAACUCCCAAGAUCAUUGUGGGAAUUCAGUCAUUUAUUAUGAAAACCAAUUUUAGUUAUUUUACACUUUUUUGGGGGGG
ensembl:lncRNA